AUCCCUUCUCGGCCUUUUGGCUAAGAUCAAGUGUAGUAUCGAGCACAGAAUCUUUCCUUUUACCCUGU
rnacentral:snRNA from 1 species